CGAUGCGUGAUUGGAAUGGAAUCGUUUGGCGGUGGUAGCUAGUAGCUAGGGUUGGAAUGCAUCCAGUUCUAGUGGAGCGCAGCGGUACUGCAUUUGUGCUUGCAUGCAUGCCUUUGUCGUUCAAUGAUUUUGAGGUAUUAGCAGAAAGCAAGCAGCCUUUUAAGGGGGCUCUGUCCACAUUGAGCCAUCCCCAAUUCCGCAUCGAUGAGUGUGUAUG
rnacentral:lncRNA from 1 species